AGAUUGAACGCUGGCGGCGUGCUAAACACAUGCAAGUCGAGCGGUAACAGGCGUAGCAAUACGUGCUGACGAGCGGCGAACGGGUGCGUAAUACAUGGGAAUCUGCCCUUUGGUGGGGAAUAACCCGGCGAAAGCCGGGCUAAUGCCGCAUAAGAUCUUCGGAUGAAAGCGGGGGAUCGUAAGACCUCGCGCCGAUGGAUGAGCCCAUGUCGGAUUAGCUAGUUGGUGAGGUAACGGCUCACCAAGGCGACGAUCCGUAGCUGGUCUGAGAGGACGGCCAACCACACUGGGACUGAGACACGGCCCAGACUCCUACGGGAGCAGCAGUGGGAAUAUUGGACAAUGGGGGAAACCCUGAUCCAGCGACGCCGCGUGUGUGAAGAAGGCCUGCGGUUGUAAAGCACUUUCGAUGGAACGAAAUGUGCCGGCUAAACUACCCCGGUAAGCUGACGUUACUCAAUGAAGAAGCACCGGCUAACUCUGUGCCAGCAGUCGUA
rnacentral:rRNA from 1 species